AACUGAUACUACCUGCGGGAACCUGCGGAGGGAUCAUUACUGAAGUGAUUUGGGGAUGUUGCUGGCCCUCUCUCAAGGGGGGGCACUGUGCACUCCUCGAAACAAUUCACAAUUUCCAUCACACCCCUUGUGCACACCUUGUAGGCACCCAAACCCACCUCCGGGUGGUGGGGUCCUAUGUAUUCCUUCAUCUCGCACUCUGUUGAAUGGUGCCAUGGGACGCAUCUAAAGGAUUAUUUG
rnacentral:misc_RNA from 1 species